rnacentral:rRNA from 1 species
GAUGAACGCUGGCGGCGUGCUUAACACAUGCAAGUCGAACGGAGUGCUCUCGAAAGAGGAUUCGUCCAAUUGAGAGAGUUACUUAGUGGCGGACGGGUGAGUAACGCGUGAGGAACCUGCCUCGGAGUGGGGAAUAACAGUUAGAAAUGACUGCUAAUACCGCAUAAUGCAAUUGUGCCGCAUGGCACUGAUUGCCAAAGAUUUAUCGCUCUGAGAUGGCCUCGCGUCUGAUUAGCUAGUUGGUAGGGUAACGGCCUACCAAGGCGACGAUCAGUAGCCGGACUGAGAGGUUGGCCGGCCACAUUGGGACUGAGACACGGCCCAG